rnacentral:rRNA from 1 species
AUGACAAGCGUGACCAAAAAUCAGUUUGGUUUCAUGCCUGGGAGGUCGACCAUGGAAGCCAUUUUCUUGGUACGACAACUUAUGGAGAGAUAUAGGGAGCAUAAGAAGGACUUGCAUAUGGUGUUCAUUGACUUGGAGAAGGCCUAUGAUAAGAUACCGCAGAAUGUCAUGUGGUGGGCCUUGGAGAAACACAAAGUCCCAGCAAAAUACAUUACCCUCAUCAAGGACAUGUACAAUAAUGUUGUGACAAGUGUUCGAACAAGUGAUGUCGACACCGAUGACUUCCCGAUUAAGAUAGGACUGCAUCAGGGGUCAGCUUUGAGCCCUUAUCUUUUUGCAUUGGUGAUGGAUGAGGUCACAAGGGGUAUACAAGGAGAUAUCCCAUGGUGUAUGCUCUUUGCGGAUGAUGUGGUGCUAGUUGACGAUAGUCGGACGAGGGUAAAUAGGAAGUUAGAGUUAUGGAGACAAACCUUGGAAUCGAAAGGGUUUAGGCUUAGUAGAACUAAAACCGAGUACAUGAUGUGUGGUUUCAGUACUACUAGCUGUGAGGAGGAGGAGGUUAGCCUUGAUGGCCAGGUGGUACCUCGGAAGGACACCUUUCGGUAUUUGGGGUCAAUGUUGCAGGAGGAUGGGGGUAUUGAUGAAGAUGUGAACCAUCGAAUCAAAGCCGGAUGGAUGAAGUGGCGCCAAGCUUCUGGCAUUCUCUGUGACAAGAGAGUGCCACAAAAGCUAAAAGGCAAGUUCUACAGGACGGCGGUUUGA